ACACAACAAACAAAUCAACAACUCAACUCUACAAAAUACAAUACAAUUCUCGACCUAGUCGAACCUCAGACGCUCCCCGGAGCUUUCCUUUCGUUUCCCCGUACGCUCUCCGGAGCUUUCUCUUUCUUUUUUCCUCUCCUUCCCAAUUGAAGCUCUGCUCGAUCCUACGUCGAGUAUCGAUAUUGUGACGCUCAGGCGGACUACUGUAAGCCCUUGCCCAGUACGCAAGGUGAAUCUGAAGAACCCUGCGGUGGAGUUGGUGCUCUCUCCAUCCUCAGUCGCUUGAUUAGAAGCAAAAGGCUAAGCGCACCCCGCUACUACAACCACUACAUUCCGCGUCCGCGCGGUGGCACGCCCGCAACAACUAAAAGAGACUUUGCUCGCCCAGACUUACCAGUGUGGCCAAAACAACAAUUACUGAAACCAGAGGACUUGGAUCGGAUUUGCUGUAUGAUCAGUGAUGCAGCCAAAUCAAUUCCGGCCAGACUAGCAGUGGCCUCUGCUUCAAUCACCGAACCGCUGCGACACGAGAAACUUGUUCCGAAUCUCGAAUUACUACACCGAUGCCAGUCCGAUUAGGUGGGUGCCAAGAUGCAUCCACAUUUACUUUGAAAGUCCCCACCGGCGGCGGAAACCAUUGCAUGGGACUAGCUAUGGCUCCAAUCGACCCCACCGGAGCAUUAGCCGCUAAGAAGUCUGCGACUAAUGUUGAGACUUGUCUGGAGGUGUGUCUCGGAGAGAGUGGCUGACCCUGGUACACAAAACGGCACCUUGCCUUCCAAAUGCUCCAACAUAAGAAACUCACCACUGUAAGUAUAUAUCUGGCCUCAUUAUUUGUUCUCUGUUGAGUACAUUCUUUGAUCCAUCUAUCGAAAGAGUAGUACUACUAUUAGGCUACAAAUUUGGUUCGUAUAGUCUGGGGUCGCUUUGUAUCUGGGCAGUAAUUAAAAAGUUAUCAAUCGAGUACUGUAGUUUAACAGUUGCAACGACUAAGCUCAAAUCAGGAUUUCACCGAAUGAAUCUAUGGAUUCCCCACAAAGAAUGCAUGGGAAGAAGUCGGAAGGACUAUUUCAGUUUUGCAUUGGUAUGCUGCAGUGCCUGCACUACAGAACUAGACAUGCCUAUCCAAGUAAAAUACGCCUUCUCAUACAGGCCAUUAGACGUAAAUUAAUAUGGCUGUAGUGAAGCCAUUAGUUAUCCAAAGAUGUCAAAAUUGAAAUGACAUGAUCAAACAUUCUGACAAGGAUAAAAAG